CCUACGGGAGGCAGCAGUGGGGAAUUUUCCGCAAUGGGCGAAAGCCUGACGGAGCAAUGCCGCGUGAAGGUAGACGGCCUACGGGACAUGAACUUCCUUUUCCGGAGAAGUAGCAAUGACGGUAUGCGGGGAAUGAGCAUCGGCUAACUCUGUGCCAGCAGCCGCGGUCAGGCAGAGGAUGCCAGCGUUAUCCCGAAUGCUUGGGCGUAAAGCGUCUGUAGGUGGCGUUGUAAGUUCGCCGUCAAAUUCCAGGGCUCAACCCUGGAAAGGAGGUGGAAACUACCAAGCUGGAGUACGGUAGGGGCAGAGGGAAUUUCCGGUGUAGCGGUGAAAUGCGUAGAGAUCGGGAAGAACACCAACGGCGAAGGCAGUCUGCUGGGCCGACACUGACACUGAGGGACGAAAGCUAGGGGAGCGAAUAGGAUUAGAUACCCGUGUAGUC
rnacentral:rRNA from 1 species